rnacentral:rRNA from 1 species
AUUGCCCUUACGGCUCAGUAACACGUAGUCAACAUGCCCAGGGGACGUGGAUAACCUCGGGAAACUGAGGCUAAACCGCGAUAGGCCAAGAUUUCUGGAAUGGAUCAUGGCUCAAAUCUAUAUGGCCUCUGGAUUGGACUGCGGCCGAUCAGGCUGUUGGUGAGGUAAUGGCCCACCAAACCUAAAACCGGUACGGGCUCUGAGAGGAGAAGCCCGGAGAUGGGCACUGAGACAAGGGCCCAGGCCCUAUGGGGCGCAGCAGGCGCGAAAACUCUGCAAUAAGCGAAAGCUUGACAGGGUUAUUCUGAGUGAUUUCCGCUAAGGAAAUCUUUUGGCACCUCUAAAAAUGGUGCAGAAUAAGGGGUGGGCAAGUCUGGUGUCAGCCGCCGCGGUAAUACCAGCACCCCGAGUGGUCGGGACGAUUAUUGGGCCUAAAGCAUCCGUAGCCGGUACUGCAAGUCUUCCGUUAAAUCCACCUGCUUAACAGUUGGGCUGCGGGAGAUACUACAGCGCUAGGAGGCGGGAGAGGCAAGCGGUACUCAAUGGGUAGGGGUAAAAUCCGCUGAUCCAUUGAAGACCACCAGUGGCGAAGGCGGCUUGCCAGAACGCGCUCGACGGUGAGGGAUGAAAGCUGGGGGAGCAAACCGGAUUAGAUACCCGGGUAGUCCCAGCUGUAAACGAUGCAGACUCGGUGAUGGGUUGGCCUUGUGCCAACCCAGUGCCGCAGGGAAGCCGUUAAGUCUGCCGCCUGGGGAGUACGGUCGCAAGACUGAAACUUAAAGGAAUUGGCGGGGGAGCAC